GAUGAACGCUAGCUAUAGGCUUAACACAUGCAAGUCGAGGGGAAACGGCAUUAUGUGCUUGCACAUUUUGGACGUCGACCGGCGCACGGGUGAGUAUCGCGUAUCCAACCUGCCCUUUACUUGGGGAUACCCCGUUGAAAGACGGCCUAAUACCCGAUGUAAUUCAUUGAUGGCAUCAGAUAUGAAUAAAAGAUUUAUCGGUAAAGGAUGGGGAUGCGUCUGAUUAGCUUGUUGGUGAGGUAAAGGCUCACCAAGGCGACGAUCAGUAGGGGUUCUGAGAGGAAGGUCCCCCACAUUGGAACUGAGACACGGUCCAAACUCCUACGGGAGGCAGCAGUGAGGAAUAUUGGUCAAUGGGCGCAAGCCUGAACCAGCCAAGUAGCGUGCAGGAAGACGGCCCUAUGGGUUGUAAACUGCUUUUAUACGAGAAUAAUUUGAUGCACGUGUGCGUUAUUGCAUGUAUCGUAUGAAUAAGGACCGGCUAAUUCCGUGCCAGCAGCCGCGGUAAUACGGAAGGUCCAGGCGUUAUCCGGAUUUAUUGGGUUUAAAGGGAGUGUAGGCGGUUUGUUAAGCGUGUUGUGAAAUUUAGGUGCUCAACAUUUAACUUGCAGCGCGAACUGUCAGACUUGAGUACACGCAACGUAUGCGGAAUUCAUGGUGUAGCGGUGAAAUGCUUAGAUAUCAUGAAGAACUCCGAUUGCGAAGGCAGCAUACGGGAGUGUAACUGACGCUUAAGCUCGAAGGUGCGGGUAUCGAACAGG
rnacentral:rRNA from 1 species